CAAGGUACCACUGUACACACAUUUCAUAUUGCAGUGUAACGCUGAUAUUGUUGUGUGCGCAUAAUUGCCUGGGAGCGCCAUUGAAUUCCUUGGGAUUUCUGAGUCAACAUGCAUAGGAUCAUGUGUUGCUAAUGAACAAAUCCUUGCCCGCCCACCCCCCGAACCCUGGUGGAUUUUCCACCAGGGCUUAUUUGGAGAUGAAAAUCCUCUAGCCAUGCUUGGUGGGUGGUCAAUUUCUGAAUUCUCAGGGCUUCUCUGAUGGUUGUCCUGGCCUGGAAGUGUAUUGUGAAUACAUCCCUUAUUCCCUGUUAGAUAUAAAGCUGCUACAUGUCAAUGAGGGUUUGACAGUUAAUGGAGCGCAUGUUCUCAGUAUUUAUCCGUGCCCGGAGAAUGACUCACAAAAUGCGAAGACAGCAAAUGUGGAAUCUUUUGUCUGCCCAUCUCACUCUCUCAGCUUGGAAGACAUUUUCCUGCGUUCUCAUAAGUGAUAUAUGUUAUCACGUCUUUGUACCAAGGCUCUCAGUCUAGGCAGGCAAGGCUUCCAUGGGCAAGAGAAUGGGCUAGAUUGUGUUCACAGGCUGCUAGUUGACCAUUCCUGCUUUAAACUCCUCUUUACCACUGUCAGAUGUUUCUUCACUGGCCUGCAGAUGGGAGCAGGUUAAACAGCAUUUGGGGCCGAGGACUCCAGAUGUUGGCCUGGGCCCCUCCAGAUGAUAUUGGACUCCCAUCAGUCCCAGCCAGCAUGGCGAAAGGCCAGGGGUGAUGGAAAAUGUUGUAGCAACAUCUGACCAGCCACAAGUUCCCCAUUCCUGCCAUAAGAAAUCCCUCUUUCCCUGAUGUUGACAAAACCUAAUUGUAUAACUGGCCUCAUCUUGGUUUUCUGUUUCUUGGUUACAUUAGCACAGCAGUCUUCAGUUCUUCAAAAGACCCAGAAUCCGCCUUUAACUCAAACAUGAAUUUGAGACCUGUUCCAUAUAAAACCAUAUAUAGUUGUAUGCUGUGUUAGAAACUGUCAGAGCUGGCUCCAGGUCCCAGCUCACAGAGGACCAACGCUAGCCGGCAGUAAUGUACAAAAGUCUUUAUUGAAGUACAGUUUCCAUUUUCAAGCCGCAGCGCCCCAGCUCUACGUCUAGGGGUUAGAUCGGCGAAGCUCCAUCUGAGUCUCCGCCCCCUGUACACCAGUUUAAGAUUCUAGCCUUACUCCACCUCUUACGUCUCUCCUUUCUCCUCUGGGUCCUGCUACCCCCCGGGGUCCCUUCCUUCCUGGAUUCUUCUGACGCUGACGUUGACCCCCCUGACUCCUCCCCCUCUUUUCGGCGGGCUUUGGGACCUGGCUCCCUAUCCGGGCUGCCAACUGCGCCGCUCUCCUGUACAUUUGAACUUGGCGCGCGCGCCAGCCUUCAACCUUCCUCUCGACCGUUUCCUCGCUCCCCGAUGGAGGCGUGGCCAAUCCUGACUCAUGUCCUCCCACUGGCAGUGCGCCGCCUGAUCCCGAUGCCUGGGACCCCUCCCCCCUACUGCACUCUGGUGUGGACGCUGGUCCUGAUUUCCAACUGCUGCUCUCUGAGUCCCCUCUGGCCCCUUCUUCCUGGGGUGUCCCCCUCGGCACCCCCCUUGCUCUGACCAAGGGAGCCCCCUCUGUGAAUCUUCCGAUUCGCUGGAAAGACUCAGAGACCUCGGACCGCUGUCAUCGCUAACAUUUCCUUCGGACUCCUCCCCCUCGCUCUCUAUUUCCUCCCUUUCCUGUGCCUCUGCUCCUGAACCCCUGACAGAAACUCAGACAUUUAAUCUAAUAGCCAAAUGGCAGUCGCCAAAACGGAAUGCCGAGUUGCCGUUUUUGGGAAAGACGGCUCUAAAGUCCUAUUUUUCAAAGGAUUGACUGGCUGUGAUUUAUCAGUUAAACAUCUGGCUAGUUCAGAUGACAACCUUGAGCCAGGUUAAGAGCUUUGACGGCUUAAAUAAGAAAAGUCACUUGAUCCAGGGACAGUCCACAUACAGUAUAUAUUGGCCUAUUCCGACCUCUUUUUCUCAAUGGUGACACAGACCAUUCAUAAUGUAGGAAUACUUUUCACAACGGUGAGCUAGGCAGUUGGUUGGAGUAAGUGAAGAGAAGCUACAACAAUUCACCAUAACGCUGUUCACCGCUUCUACUCAGGCUGCACAGAAAAAGCAUUUUGGUUCCUGAAAUUCAUUCCAGUUGUGCGGAUAAAGUAUAACUGAUAGAAUUCUGAAAAAUGUGGUGUUAGUGGGUGAAAACAGUCCAGAACCAAUGACCACCAGGCAUGCACCUCCUGAUGGUGGAGAUGCCAGGUACCAUCCUUGGCACCCAAGCAUCUUCACUUUGUCGCAAGUGGCCGAUAGUCAGGUGCAAAAAUACACCCAGAGCCUGGCUAAUUUUGAACACUGUUUGUAUGCUGGUAGUGUUGGUGUUCUGACUCACCUUAGAUCAGGCUGCAACUUGGUAGAGCAGCUGAGGAAACCCAGCCAGAUGGGUGGGGUAUAAUUAAUUAUUAGUAAAGUAAAGGGACCCCUGACCAUUAGGUCCAGUCGUGACCG
rnacentral:lncRNA from 1 species